GCUCUUGUAGCUCAGUUGGUUAGAGCACCAGUUUAGUAAGCGGGAGGUCUUGAGUUCAACUCUCAACAAGAGCA
rnacentral:tRNA from 1 species